GUACGUCUAAUACAAAUUGGAUUAUAUCAGUACUACACAUCACUAGUGGCAGGAGACGUGGCCUGUUUUGGUCCAUGGCCUGUGUCGGCAUCGCUUGGAGUAUUCUGGUUAAAAAGGGGAUCGACCAGAGGACAGAUAAGGUACGACACCAAAUGCCUCCACUCCCAAAUCACCAGUUCUUGGCCCUACUCCUCGCCGGUGCCCACGGCUGGCUCCAUCAGCGGCGGAGCGGCCCUCCCGCAGAGGAGGAGGGGAGUUGAGGGGCGGCCUCGUGGGGGCGGGGAUCCGCGACGCGACCAGUGAGACCGAGUGCCUCGGGCGACCAGGUGCCCACGCGGAUUCCAGUGGGGCGAGCAGCCAUGGCGGAUGCAAAGCGGCGGAGUAGCACUCGGGCUUCUGGCGAGGGUGUCGGGAGUGCUGACGGCGGCGCUGCUUCCUGGUGUUCUUCCUCCUCCACAUCUCGUGUUGGGAGGUUGAGGUCGGGGAACGCUGGGAGAGCGACCGUCGGCACAGCGGCCUCGAUCUCCUCCGUCUUCACCUUCGGCAGGAGGUUGAUGACGAGCCGGGGCUUGAGCGCGUCCAGAGGGACUGCAGCCGGCGGGGAGGAGAACUCCGGCAGUGGAUCGUAGCCCGGCGGGUUGAAGUGCUCCGGGUCCUUGUCGGAUGGCGUCGGGGACGGGAGCCUCGACCCGUAGCCGUAGCCUAGGCAUGAAUACAUCAGCGGAGGCGGCGCCGCGAGUUCCUCGUCGGAGAAGCAGCGAUCUGGGUCAUCGACGAGCCAUCCGGCGCUUGGACCGGCAAGCAUCCACUCCAUGGGCGCGUACACCGGCGGAGGAGGCGGCAGUUCCGCGGCAUCCGUGGUGAUGUUGGAGGCAGAGGCCUCAUCCUCGUACUCGAUCCCGACCCCUGCAGCAACCUGUUCGUCGACGGCGUUUGGUGCGGCAGCAGCCUCUUGGGGCAUGAACAGGACGUCUUCCCUGGGCGCAUCCGCCCUGGUACUCGGUCCUGGCGCUCCAGGGGAGUUGCUGCGGUGCACCCGGCGAUGACCACAGUGAAGGCGUUGGCGAUUGGCGUGGCGGCGAAGGAGGCCACCACCAGAACCAUAGCGACGAAGAGGAGCACGAUAUGGUGCAUUGCGGCGGCGGAGGCCGCCAUUCCUGUUCAGGCGACGCUGACGGCGGUGGCCGAAGUUCCGGCGACGAGUAGCAGCCGGACCAAAAGUCCGGUGAGGAAAACGGAAGCCCCGGUGUUCCCUGGCCACAAAUCGAGCGAAGGCGAAAGCAAGGUCCGGCAGAGAACCCAUCUCUUCUCACCUUUCUUUCUCUCCUGUGGCCUAUUCUCUGGUUCGAGCAGUGCUGAUAACGUGAAGAGAAACAAGAAAGAUUGAAGUGAAUGGAGUGAUCUUUAUUGAUUGAUUCAUCCAGGCUUUUAUAUGUCCUGAACGGAUGUUUACAGCGUCGAUUACAAGAGGCGUCGCAUCGUUUAGAAAAGGUGCGGCGACAGUUCGGAAAGACACGACAACGGUUCGCUAUACUGUGUCUGGACAACGCCAGGAUUCUAACCACCGGUUAGAAUAUUCUAAGGAAUUUGCUAAUCGCCUAAUUAGCCUAAUACUAAUACUAUUAGAUUCCUAACAAUAUUGAGGCCUAACCUUGGCGCCGAAACACACAGAGCCACGAGUUGAUGGUGGGCUUCCGGAUGACCAAGAUGACAUGCCUCAAUGUUUCUUUUUUUAAGGGAACAUAUGGUAUUCCAUUACGGUAACCUGCUGGUAAAUCGCCAGGUAUAGUUCAUUACAACAUCAAGGAAUUGGCCUAACCAGAUUUCGUAAGUGUUAUUUCCUAAGCUAGUUCCAUGAGCAAGCAUGCGCUGGAUUAUUACAAGACCUUGGGUUCAUAUGAAGAUUUACAUUAUCAAAACCGACUCUCAUUUGUAAUUUAAUCUUCUGGAACAGAGCGCCCAAUGGUGCUAGGUCGUAGUCCUGACUUGAGAUUGCUUGUUUCAGUACCAUGGAGUCAGUCUGAAAAAUGGCUUGAUGACACCCCAUGUUGUAUUAACCGUGUUUAAUAAUGCUACUGUUUUAACAUGUAGGGCAUUAGAGAUAUGUUCCAGAUUUCCCGGAAAUGCAGCUAUGAGCGUUCCACAAUCAUCUCUUACAGAUCUUGAAAUUGGAUCCUUAAAUGCAAACAAGGAAGAAGAAGAAGAAGAAUAUCUUAGUCGAGGUGAAUGGUCUAAUAAAUAUCUUAAUGGCGUUUUGUAGUGUAUGAUUAGGAUCAAUCCAAAUGACCAAGAAAGAAGAUGGGUUCAACAAGCCUUAUACGACAGCGAGCCGACACGUUGAUCUCCCAAUUAGAUAACAAAGCAAUGCAUCACUUCCAUAUGAAGGCUUAGAAAACCUUAGACUGAUCUUAUUCAUACAGAAGUGAAGACAACAUGCAUGCUUGCACCA